CAGCACCAGAUGUUUUACAUAGGUUUCUCUUUUCAUUUUAAUCUUCAAACUACUGGAGGUCUGAAUAGCUAUCUCCACUUUGCAGAGGCAGUGAAAGCCCCACAAGGGGACAAUGGCAUGCAAGGGGCCACGUGGCUUCUCCUCAGCAUCCUAGCUCCAACCACCAUGGCUCCAGAUCUAGCUCUUCCUUCCCCAGGCAGUCUCUUGGGGUGCGGCAGCCCUCCCUCAGGUAGAGUCUCUCCCCAAGGCCGCCCCACCCCACACUUGCUCAUCUGCUUACCUCCCCUCAAGCCUGAAAGGCAUUUUUCCUACCUGCCUCGGGACUGUGCUGUGAGGGAGGCUGGCCAGGUGUUCUCCCAUUUCACAGGCAAAGAAGCUGAGGCUCAGAGAAAUGGAGCCGUUGGCCACUGGGCCCAGACUAUCCAGGACAAGGUGGUCAUUCAAAUCCAUCCCUCUACAUCCGGUCCUCCGGGCCGUCAUAGUACCACCUGCAGAUUCAGAUGCAUCUAUGUUAUGUCUCCACCUGUCUGCAAACCUCUUCUAUGGCUCUAGGGACAGCUUGCCCAGGGCCAAGUGCAGAAGCAGGCUCUGUCCCCAGUCUGCAGAGACCCUGGAGGUGCCCAGCUGCUGAGUGGGGCCUUCUGUCUCCCCAAGGUGUCUCUCUGCAGGGAAGAUGCCUAUCAUGUGAAGCGGGUCACAGAGCAGACACUGGGGCCUGUGUGACCUUGUAGGUGGCUUGGCCUUUGUCAGGGCUGUGUUUGGGCCCUCCUCCAAUUGCAGAGUUCACUGGGAGGCUCCUGUCUGCUUGGGCUGGAUCACUGGGGUCCUUGAUGGUACUGGCCAAGUGAGAGUGUCCCAGAGAAAAUGGGGCACCCUACCAAGAAACCCCGCCAGAGAGCCAGCAGGAUGCUCAUCCCUCUCCCAGAGCCUGGCUUCUGUCCUCUAAUGUCUUCCUCCUCAGAGUCAGAGAGAAGAGCUUUAUUGUUACCACAACACUGGGGUCAUGGCCCACGGUGACGCAGAGCGAAACCAAGGACAGUGGAUGCAAGAUCCAGGCAAAUUUAUUUAAAAGAUGUAAAGGCAAGAAGCUUAUUUGACAAAUGAGGAAACUGAAGUCCAAAUAAACAGUCAUCACUGGCCCGUGGUGAUCCGAGACUAUACUCCCUGCACUGAGGGAGGCUGAGGAAGGAGGAUGAUGAGGAAACUGAGGCACGGACCACAGACAGCCAUACAGUUGAGUCAUCUCUGGGGAAUGCCACAUUGGGAUUGCUGUCCUGUCACCGCUACCAUGACCUCAUGUGAGAGUUUGUCCCCAAGCAUGGGGACCCAGCCCUUCCUUCCCAGGUCCUCUGUGGCUCGCCCUGGGAACUUUAGCCUUGGUCUUCUGUCACUUUCUCCUUAUGACCCAUAUUCACAGAAUCUCUGAGUAUUUUUUUGCCUGACGCAUGCUACCAAGUCUCAAAAGUGG
rnacentral:lncRNA from 1 species